rnacentral:rRNA from 1 species
CGAAAGGGUGAACGAGCGACGCCGCGUGCGGGAAGAAGGCCUUCGGGUCGUAAACCGCUUUUAGCAGGGAAGAAGCGAAAGUGACGGUACCUGCAGAAAAAGCACCGGCUAACUACGUGCCAGCAGCCGCGGUAAUACGUAGGGUGCAAGCGUUGUCCGGAAUUAUUGGGCGUAAAGAGCUCGUAGGUCGUUUGUUACGUCGGAUGUGAAAACCUGAGGCUCAACCUCAGGCCUGCAUUCGAUACGGGCAAACUAGAGUUUGGUAGGGGAGACUGGAAUUCCUGGUGUAGCGGUGGAAUGCGCAGAUAUCAGGAGGAACACCAAUGGCGAAGGCAGGUCUCUGGGCCAAUACUGACGCUGAGACGCGAAAGCCAGGGGAGCAAACGGGAUUAGAUACCCCGGUAGUCCUGGCUGU